AAUGAACGUUGGCGGCGUGGAUUAGGCAUGCAAGUCGAGCAAGAACCGUAGCAAUACGGGGACAGCGGCGAAAGGGAGAGUAAUACGUGGAUACGUACCCUCGGGUCCGGGAUAGCCGCGGGAAACUGCGGGUAAUACCGGACGACAUCUCCGGAUCAAAGGUGUGAUUCCGCCCGAGGAGCGGUCCACGUCCUAUUAGCUAGUUGGCGAGGUAACGGCUCACCAAGGCUGUGAGGGGUACGGGGUGUGAGAGCAUGCCCCCGCUCACUGGGACUGAGACACUGCCCAGACACCUACGGGUGGCUGCAGUCGAGAAUCUUCGGCAAUGGGCGCAAGCCUGACCGAGCGACGCCGCGUGCGAGAUGAAGGCCUUCGGGUUGUAAAUCGCUGUCAGAGGGGAGGAAAUAUCGGGAAGUAAUUCAUAAUCGACCCGGUUUGACCUAUCCUCAGAGGAAGGACGGGCUAAGUUCGUGCCAGCCGCCGCCGUAA
rnacentral:rRNA from 1 species